GGUUAAGCGACUAAGCGUACACGGUGGAUGCCCUGGCAGUCAGAGGCGAUGAAGGACGUGCUAAUCUGCGAUAAGCGUCGGUAAGGUGAUAUGAACCGUUAUAACCGGCGAUUUCCGAAUGGGGAAACCCAGUGUGAUUCGUCACACUAUCAUUAACUGAAUCCAUAGGUUAAUGAGGCGAACCGGGGGAACUGAAACAUCUAAGUACCCCGAGGAAAAGAAAUCAACCGAGAUUCCCCCAGUAGCGGCGAGCGAACGGGGAGCAGCCCAGAGCCUGAAUCAGUGUGUGUGUUAGUGGAAGCGUCUGGAAAGGCGCGCGAUACAGGGUGACAGCCCCGUACACAAAAAUGCACAUGCUGUGAGCUCGAUGAGUAGGGCGGGACACGUGGUAUCCUGUCUGAAUAUGGGGGGACCAUCCUCCAAGGCUAAAUACUCCUGACUGACCGAUAGUGAACCAGUACCGUGAGGGAAAGGCGAAAAGAACCCCGGCGAGGGGAGUGAAAAAGAACCUGAAACCGUGUACGUACAAGCAGUGGGAGCACGCUUAGGCGUGUGACUGCGUACCUUUUGUAUAAUGGGUCAGCGACUUAUAUUCUGUAGCAAGGUUAACCGAAUAGGGGAGCCGAAGGGAAACCGAGUCUUAACUGGGCGUUAAGUUGCAGGGUAUAGACCCGAAACCCGGUGAUCUAGCCAUGGGCAGGUUGAAGGUUGGGUAACACUAACUGGAGGACCGAACCGACUAAUGUUGAAAAAUUAGCGGAUGACUUGUGGCUGGGGGUGAAAGGCCAAUCAAACCGGGAGAUAGCUGGUUCUCCCCGAAAGCUAUUUAGGUAGCGCCUCGUGAAUUCAUCUCCGGGGGUAGAGCACUGUUUCGGCAAGGGGGUCAUCCCGACUUACCAACCCGAUGCAAACUGCGAAUACCGGAGAAUGUUAUCACGGGAGACACACGGCGGGUGCUAACGUCCGUCGUGAAGAGGGAAACAACCCAGACCGCCAGCUAAGGUCCCAAAGUCAUGGUUAAGUGGGAAACGAUGUGGGAAGGCCCAGACAGCCAGGAUGUUGGCUUAGAAGCAGCCAUCAUUUAAAGAAAGCGUAAUAGCUCACUGGUCGAGUCGGCCUGCGCGGAAGAUGUAACGGGGCUAAACCAUGCACCGAAGCUGCGGCAGCGACGCUGAUGCGUUGUUGGGUAGGGGAGCGUUCUGUAAGCCUGCGAAGGUGUGCUGUGAGGCAUGCUGGAGGUAUCAGAAGUGCGAAUGCUGACAUAAGUAACGAUAAAGCGGGUGAAAAGCCCGCUCGCCGGAAGACCAAGGGUUCCUGUCCAACGUUAAUCGGGGCAGGGUGAGUCGACCCCUAAGGCGAGGCCGAAAGGCGUAGUCGAUGGGAAACAGGUUAAUAUUCCUGUACUUGGUGUUACUGCGAAGGGGGGACGGAGAAGGCUAUGUUGGCCGGGCGACGGUUGUCCCGGUUUAAGCGUGUAGGCUGGUUUUCCAGGCAAAUCCGGAAAAUCAAGGCUGAGGCGUGAUGACGAGGCACUACGGUGCUGAAGCAACAAAUGCCCUGCUUCCAGGAAAAGCCUCUAAGCAUCAGGUAACAUCAAAUCGUACCCCAAACCGACACAGGUGGUCAGGUAGAGAAUACCAAGGCGCUUGAGAGAACUCGGGUGAAGGAACUAGGCAAAAUGGUGCCGUAACUUCGGGAGAAGGCACGCUGAUAUGUAGGUGAAGCGACUUGCUCGUGGAGCUGAAAUCAGUCGAAGAUACCAGCUGGCUGCAACUGUUUAUUAAAAACACAGCACUGUGCAAACACGAAAGUGGACGUAUACGGUGUGACGCCUGCCCGGUGCCGGAAGGUUAAUUGAUGGGGUCAGCGCAAGCGAAGCUCUUGAUCGAAGCCCCGGUAAACGGCGGCCGUAACUAUAACGGUCCUAAGGUAGCGAAAUUCCUUGUCGGGUAAGUUCCGACCUGCACGAAUGGCGUAAUGAUGGCCAGGCUGUCUCCACCCGAGACUCAGUGAAAUUGAACUCGCUGUGAAGAUGCAGUGUACCCGCGGCAAGACGGAAAGACCCCGUGAACCUUUACUAUAGCUUGACACUGAACAUUGAGCCUUGAUGUGUAGGAUAGGUGGGAGGCUUUGAAGUGUGGACGCCAGUCUGCAUGGAGCCGACCUUGAAAUACCACCCUUUAAUGUUUGAUGUUCUAACGUUGACCCGUAAUCCGGGUUGCGGACAGUGUCUGGUGGGUAGUUUGACUGGGGCGGUCUCCUCCUAAAGAGUAACGGAGGAGCACGAAGGUUGGCUAAUCCUGGUCGGACAUCAGGAGGUUAGUGCAAUGGCAUAAGCCAGCUUGACUGCGAGCGUGACGGCGCGAGCAGGUGCGAAAGCAGGUCAUAGUGAUCCGGUGGUUCUGAAUGGAAGGGCCAUCGCUCAACGGAUAAAAGGUACUCCGGGGAUAACAGGCUGAUACCGCCCAAGAGUUCAUAUCGACGGCGGUGUUUGGCACCUCGAUGUCGGCUCAUCACAUCCUGGGGCUGAAGUAGGUCCCAAGGGUAUGGCUGUUCGCCAUUUAAAGUGGUACGCGAGCUGGGUUUAGAACGUCGUGAGACAGUUCGGUCCCUAUCUGCCGUGGGCGCUGGAGAACUGAGGGGGGCUGCUCCUAGUACGAGAGGACCGGAGUGGACGCAUCACUGGUGUUCGGGUUGUCAUGCCAAUGGCACUGCCCGGUAGCUAAAUGCGGAAGAGAUAAGUGCUGAAAGCAUCUAAGCACGAAACUUGCCCCGAGAUGAGUUCUCCCUGACUCCUUGAGAGUCCUGAAGGAACGUUGAAGACGACGACGUUGAUAGGCCGGGUGUGUAAGCGCAGCGAUGCGUUGAGCUAACCGGUACUAAUGAACCGUGAGGCUUAACCUU
rnacentral:rRNA from 1 species